GUCCUAGCCGUAAACACUGUGUGCUAGAUAUGGCAUAAACUUAGAGUUUGUGCUGUAUCGCAACGAAGGUGCAAGCACACCACCUGGGAAGUAUAGUCGCAAGGCUGAAACUUAAAGGAAUUGGGCGGGGGAGCACUACAAGGGGUGCGGCGUGCGGUUUAAUUGAAUUCAACGCCGGAAAUCUCACCAGGAGCGACGGCAGGAAGAAGGCCAGUCUAAAGGGCUUGCCUGACGAGCCGAGAGGUAUUGCAUGGCCGCCGU
rnacentral:rRNA from 1 species